rnacentral:rRNA from 1 species
GAUGAACGCUGACAGAAUGCUUAACACAUGCAAGUCAACUUGAACUUCGGUUUGGGUGGCGGACGGGUGAGUAACGCGUAAAGAACUUGCCUCACAGCUAGGGACAACAUUUGGAAACGAAUGCUAAUACCUGAUAUUAUGAUUAUAUGGCAUCGUAUAAUUAUGAAAGCUAUAUGCGCUGUGAGAGAGCUUUGCGUCCCAUUAGCUAGUUGGAGAGGUAACAGCUCACCAAGGCGAUGAUGGGUAGCCGGCCUGAGAAGGUGAUCGGCCACAAGGGGACUGAGACACGGCCCUUACUCCAACGGGAGGCAGCAGUGGGGAAUAUUGGACAAUGGACCGAGAGUCUGAUCAAGCAAUUCUGUGUGCACGAUGAAGUUUUUCGGAAUGUAAAGUGCUUUCAGUUGGGAAGAAAAAAAUGACGGUACCAACAGAAGAAGUGACGGCUAAAUACGUG